GCUCGCCGGCCCCCGCCCCGCGCACGGCGUCAGCGUCUAGACGCAGGCCCUCCUGGUGAGAUCCCAUCACGUCCCCUGGCCUCCAGUGUCAUCUGCUCUGCAUGAUAUCUCCAGGGGGACCUCUCUGCUGGGCUCCAGGCCGCAUGGCUGUGGGUGACCAGCAUCAUGUCCCACCGGGUCCCCUGCAGUCCCAGUGCACCUGCCUGCUCAUCCAGGGACCUGUCCUCACUGCCUGCUGCCUGCACUGUGUGGAAGGACAGAGGCUAAACGACGAAGCCUCGAGCUCUGGUCUCAUGGAAAUGGCAGCCUGCCCACCACCCACGCUUGCCCAGCCUUUCUUCACGCAUUAAAACGUGGAGAGUGGAAUCUUCUGGGCCCAGGUAAUGCGCCUUUGCUCCGACAUUCCCUUCACUACUCACUGGCGAGCUCAGUUGGAAAUUCACUCCCAAUAGGAGUUCCACGGCAGACACAUCGUGAGUCAUGGCAGAACUUUGUCUUUUAAUUGCAGAAUGUUAAAGAAAGAGUCACUCAGGUAGCAAAGAUUGGCUUUUCAGGGGCGAUUUUAUGGAGCUAUUAACUCAGAGACACCAUUACUUAAAUGUAAUUUUUAUUAUUACAAUUAAAGACUGAUUUGAUUUUA
ensembl:lncRNA RNF32-DT RNF32 divergent transcript